GGUUCAAAUGUUUUCACUUUCAUUUUCAUUACUUUAAAUGUGACACCAUUAUUUUGAAGGGAAAAUCUAGGAUUGCAUCAUUGUCGGCAAAACGGAGGCUAGCCAGUAAUAGAGUUACAGGUCUCUAGUCACAUCUUCAGAAAGGGAAGCUUUUAACAAAAUGUUAAAUGAAAAUAAUUUUUGAAAGAUUAUUGGAGAAAAAGUGACAAAGAAGAGGACUGGCAUUACCACUGUCUAUAUUUCGGCUUGCGUGGAAGAGGAAGAAGAGCCGACUAUUGACACAACAAGACACAGAGAGGAGGAGGAGGGAGAGAAGUGGGCAACUGCCUCCAAGAUGAGUCUGUCUGUGGAACAUGUGACCGGCAACAAAUCUAAGAGGUGGGAGGAAAGACCAAGAUUGCAUCUGUGCAUGUUUACAUUUUACUAGUUUAUAUUGGCGCAGAUAUAUUGAACAGUAUCCAAAAAGGAUUUUAACCCAUGAUCACUCGCCACAAAAAGAUCUGAACUCUGGUACCAUGUCAGGACAGGGGCAGGAAGUAAAGAGGCUGAUCAGGAAGAGAAAGGCCCGCACAGUGGUCGAUAGGGACAGGAAGUAAAGAGGCUGAUCAGGAAGAGAAAGUCCCGCACAGUGGUCGAAAGGAACAGGAAGUAAAGAGGCUGAUCAGGAAGAGAAAGGCCCGCACAGUGGUCGAUAGGGGCAGGAAGUAAAGAGGCUGAUCAGGAAGAGAAAGGCCCGCACAGUGGUCGAUAGGGACAGGAAGUAAAGAGGCUGAUCAGGAAGAGAAAGUCCCGCACAGUGGUCGAAAGGAACAGGAAGUAAAGAGGCUGAUCAGGAAGAGAAAGGCCCGCACAGUGGUCGAUAGGGGCAGGAAGUAAAGAGGCUGAUCAGGAAGAGAAAGUCCUGCACAGUGGUCGAUAGGGGCAGGAAGUAAAGAGGCUGAUCAGGAAGAGAAAGGCCCGCACAGUGGUCGAUAGGGACAGGAAGUAAAGAGGGUGAUCAGGAAAAGAAAGGCCUGCACAGUGGUCGAUAUGGCGGCAGGAAGUAAAGAGGCUGAUAAGGAAGAGAAAGGCCCGCACAGUGGUCGAUAGGGGCAGGAAGUAAAGAGGCUGAUCAGGAAGAGAAAGGCCCACACAGUGGUAGAUAGGGACAGGAAGUAAAGAGGCUGAUCAGGAAGAGAAAGGCCCACACAGUGGUAGAUAGGGACAGGAAGUAAAGAGGCUGAUCAGGAAGAGAAAGGCCGGCACAGUGGUCGAUAUGGCGGCAGGAAGUAAAGAGGCUGAUCAGGAAGAGAAAGGCCGGCACAGUGGUCGAUAGGGGCAAGAAGUAAAGAGGCUGAUCAGGAAGAGGAAGGCCCGCACAGUGGUCUAAAUGGACUGAAAAUAGACGAGACUGAUUCUGUCCCGGGGCCUGAGGACUAAUUAGUGACAGUACAAGUGUGAUUGGAGCGACCUCCAGGACCUCAGGCUCGGUGAGGGAACCAAUGCUUACAGGUGAGACUAAGAAUACUGUUGAGCGUUAGGAACCGCCGAGUGGCAACAUAAAACCUUCCUCAGUCGGAGGAUUGAUCGAUA
rnacentral:lncRNA from 1 species